UACGGAGGGGGCUAGCGUUGUUCGGAAUUACUGGGCGUAAAGCGCACGUAGGCGGCUUUGCAAGUUAGAGGUGAAAGCCUGGGGCUCAACUCCGGAAUUGCCUUUAAAACUGCAUCGCUAGAAUUGUGGAGAGGUAAGUGGAAUUCCGAGUGUAGAGGUGAAAUUCGUAGAUAUGGGGUGGAACACCGGUGGCGAAGGCGGCCAUCUGGACGACAACUGACGCUGAGACGCGAAAGCGUGGGGAGCAAACAGG
rnacentral:rRNA from 1 species